rnacentral:rRNA from 1 species
CCUACGGGGGGCAGCAGUGAGGAAUAUUGGUCAAUGGGCGAGAGCCUGAACCAGCCAAGUCGCGUGAAGGAUGACGGCCCUACGGGUUGUAAACUUCUUUUGUCAGGGAGCAAUUGGGUCCACGCGUGGGCUUAGCGAGAGUACCUGAAGAAAAAGCAUCGGCUAACUCCGUGCCAGCAGCCGCGGUAAUACGGAGGAUGCGAGCGUUAUCCGGAUUUAUUGGGUUUAAAGGGUGCGUAGGCGGAAUAUCAAGUCAGAUGUGAAAACCACGGGCUCAACCUGUGGCCUGCAUUUGAAACUGUGUUUCUUGAGUACUGGAGAGGCAGACGGAAUUCCUAGUGUAGCGGUGAAAUGCGUAGAUAUUAGGAGGAACACCAGUGGCGAAGGCGGUCUGCUGGACAGCAACUGACGCUGAGGCGCGAAAGCGUGGGGAGCAAACAGGAUUAGAUACCCUAGUAGUC